AAGGGGGGGACAUAGACCUGCUAAACCUUAAACCCGACUUAACCGUUGGCCCCCUCU
rnacentral:tRNA from 1 species